rnacentral:rRNA from 1 species
UGAGGAGCGAAAGCGUGGGGAGCGAACAGGAUUAGAUACCCUGGUAGUCCACGCCGUAAACGUUGGGCGCUAGAUGUGGGUCACAUUCCACGUGAUCCGUGUCGCAGCUAACGCAUUAAGCGCCCCGCCUGGGGAGUACGGCCGCAAGGCUAAAACUCAAAGGAAUUGACGGGGGCCCGCACAAGCGGCGGAGCAUGCGGAUUAAUUCGAUGCAACGCGAAGAACCUUACCAAGGCUUGACAUAUAGAGGAAAACUGCAGAAAUGUAGUCCCCGCAAGGUCUCUAUACAGGUGGUGCAUGGUUGUCGUCAGCUCGUGUCGUGAGAUGUUGGGUUAAGUCCCGCAACGAGCGCAACCCUCGUCCUAUGUUGCCAGCACGUUAUGGUGGGAACUCAUGGGAGACUGCCGGGGUCAACUCGGAGGAAGGUGGGGAUGACGUCAAAUCAUCAUGCCCCUUAUGUCUUGGGCUUCACGCAUGCUACAAUGGCCGGUACAAAGGGCUGCAAUACCGCAAGGUGGAGCGAAUCCCAAAAAGCCGGUCUCAGUUCGGAUUGAGGUCUGCAACUCGACCUCAUGAAGUCGGAGUCGCUAGUAAUCGCAGAUCAGCAACGCUGCGGUGAAUACGUUCCCGGGCCUUGUACACACCGCCCGUCAAGUCACGAAAGUCGGUAACACCCGAAGCCGGUGGCCUAACCGUAAGGA